rnacentral:rRNA from 1 species
UACGUAGGGGGCAAGCGUUGUCCGGAAUCAUUGGGCGUAAAGAGCUCGUAGGCGGCUUGUCGCGUCGUCCGUGAAAACUUGGGGCUCAACCCCAAGCUUGCGGUCGAUACGGGCAGGCUAGAGUUCGGUAGGGGAGACUGGAAUUCCUGGUGUAGCGGUGAAAUGCGCAGAUAUCAGGAGGAACACCGGUGGCGAAGGCGGGUCUCUGGGCCGAUACUGACGCUGAGGAGCGAAAGCGUGGGGAGCGAACAGG